AGGGAUCAUUACACAAUAACAUAUGAAGGCUGCACGCGGCUGUGCCCCCGGGCGCAGUGCUGCUGAGGCUGGAUUAUUUAUUUACCCUUGUCUUUUGCGCACUUGUUGUUUCCUGGGCGGGUUCGCCCGCCGCCAGGACCACACCAUAAACCUUUUUUUAUGCAGUUGCAAUCAGCGUCAGUACAACAAAUGUAAAUCAUUUACAACUUUCAACAACGGAUCUCUUGGUUCUGGCAUCGAUGAAGAACGCAGCGAAAUGCGAUACGUAGUGUGAAUUGCAGAAUUCAGUGAAUCAUCGAAUCUUUGAACGCACAUUGCGCCCUUUGGUAUUCCAAAGGGCAUGCCUGUUCGAGCGUCAUUUGUACCUUCAAGCUUUGCUUGGUGUUGGGCGUCUUUGUCUUUUGGCUCUUUGGCCUAGAGACUCGCCUUAAAACGAUUGGCAGCCGGCCUACUGGUUUCGCAGCGCAGCACAUUUUUGCGCUUGCAAUCAGCAAAAGAGGACGGCACUCCAUCAAGACUCCUUCUCACGUUUGACCUCGGAUCAGGUAGGGAUAC
rnacentral:rRNA from 1 species